UACGUAGGGUGCGAGCGUUAAUCGGAAUUACUGGGCGUAAAGGGGGCGUAGGCGGAAAUGUAAGUUAGAUGUGAAAUUCCUGAGCUUAACUUAGGGAUAGCAUUUAAGACUGCAUAUCUAGAGUUUGUGAGAGGGGGGUAGAAUUCCAAGUGUAGCAGUGAAAUGCGUAGAGAUUUGGAGGAAUACCGAUGGCGAAGGCAGCCCCCUGGCAUAGAACUGACGCUGAGUCACGAAAGCGUGGGUAGCAAACAGG
rnacentral:rRNA from 1 species